rnacentral:sRNA from 1 species
GAUGGGGCAAAUGCAAUUGUGCUGGGGACAUUGGGAGACAUUUCUUCCCCUCUUGCGAUUAUUGGUGGCAAUUGUGCUCUGCAAGGUUUCAAUCAUGAAGGAAGUGAUCUCUUUUGGACGGUUACUGGAGACAAUGUUAAUUCCUUGGCCUUGUGUGACUUUGAUGGUGAUGGAAAGAAAGAGCUUCUUGUUGGAUCUGAGGAUUUUGAUAUCCGAGUUUUUAAGGAAGAUGAGAUUGUGGCAGAAAUGACAGAAACAGAGAUAGUCACCUCUCUUUGUCCCAUGUAUGGCAGUCGAUUUGGUUAUGCCCUUUCCAAUGGCACAGUUGGAGUUUAUGACAAAACAGCCCGAUACUGGAGAAUUAAAUCAAAAAAUCAUGCCAUGAGCAUUCAUGCUUUUGACCUUAAUUCUGAUGGAGUGAAUGAACUGAUAACUGGUUGGUCCAAUGGGAAGGUUGAUGCUCGAAGUGACCGAACUGGGGAGGUCAUCUUUAAGGACAAUUUUUCUUCUGCAAUUGCCGGUGUGGUAGAGGGAGAUUACCGGAUGGAUGGCCACGUACAGUUAAUCUGCUGCUCAGUGGAUGGGGAAAUCCGGGGCUACCUGCCUGGCACGGCUGAGAUGAGGGGGAACCUCAUGGACACCAGCGUAGAGCAGGACCUGAUCCGAGAGCUGAGUCAGAAGAAGCAGAAUCUGUUGUUGGAACUCCGUAACUAUGAGGAAAACGCCAAGAACAAUACUUAAAAAAUGUUAAAGUCAUGAUGGGAUACAGUGGACCAUACCCAUAGAAAGAGGCAAGGGUAUUUUCCCACAGGGCCAGAUAGAGCAAGGGAGUGCUAAUGAGGUGA